AUUGAACGCUGGCGGCAUGCUUUACACAUGCAAGUCGAACGGUAACAGGCCGCAAGGUGCUGACGAGUGGCGAACGGGUGAGUAAUGCAUCGGAACGUGCCCAGUCGUGGGGGAUAACGCAGCGAAAGCUGCGCUAAUACCGCAUACGAUCUGUGGAUGAAAGCGGGGGACCGUAAGGCCUCGCGCGAUUGGAGCGGCCGAUGUCAGAUUAGGUAGUUGGUGGGGUAAAGGCUCACCAAGCCGACGAUCUGUAGCUGGUCUGAGAGGACGACGCGCCACACUGGGACUUAGACACGGCCGAGACCCCAACGGGAGGCAGCAGCGGGGAAUUUUGGACAAUGGGGGCAACCCGGAUCCAGCAAUGCCGCGCGCAGGAAGAAGGCCUUCGGGUUGUAAACUGCUUUUGUACGGAACGAAACGGCUCUGGUUAAUACCUGGGACUAAUGACGGUACCGUAAGAAUAAGCACCGGCUAACUACGUGCCAGCCGCCGCCGUAACAC
rnacentral:rRNA from 1 species